UGGAACGAAGUAGGCAAGGAAAGUCGACAGAAUGGAUAUGUAACCUCGAGAAAGGAUUGGCUCUGAAGGCUGGGCUUGGGGGUCUUAUUCUCAAACUCAUAUGUUGUCGAUGGACUGCUUAACUGCUCUUAUGGUGAGAACGGGUCUUCGUAUACUGGCGAGGGGACAGACUGAGAACAACCCCUUCGAAGGCCUCCCCUAAACUCCCUCAUGUGUUGAACAGUCGACUCAAAAUUGAUAUGGACAAGGGGAAUUCGAUUGUUUAAUUAAAACAAAGCAUUGCGAUGGUCCCUGUGGAUGCUCACGCAAUAUGAUUUUCUGCCCAGUGCUUUGAAUGUCAGAGUGAAGAAAUUCAAUCAAGCACAAGUAAAUAGCAGGAGUAACUAUGACUCUUUUAAGGUGGUCAAAUGCCUCGUCAUCUAAUUAGUGAUAUGCAUACAUAGAUUAACAAGAUUUUCAUUAUCCAUGACUACUAUCCA
rnacentral:ncRNA from 1 species